UACGUAGGGGGCAAGCGUUGUCCGGAUUUAUUGGGCGUAAAGAGCGUGUAGGCGGCCAGAUAGGUCCGUUGUGAAAACUCGAGGCUCAACCUCGAGACGCCGAUGGAAACCAUUUGGCUAGAGUCCGGAAGAGGAGAGUGGAAUUCCUGGUGUAGCGGUGAAAUGCGCAGAUAUCGGGAGGAACACCGGUGGCGAAGGCGGGUCUCUGGGCCGAUACUGACGCUGAGGAGCGAAAGCGUGGGGAGCGAACAGG
rnacentral:rRNA from 1 species